AUGGCCACCAACGGCGGCGGCGGCAGAUGUGCCGGUAGCGACCUCAAUUUCGUUGAAUCCGUUGCCCACUCUACCCUUCGUCGCUCUCCCACUGCCCUUCCUCGCUCUCCCACCGCCCCCGUGCUAGGGUUCCUGGCAACGGUGGAUAUUUCACCGGCAACGGAGAGGAGCUCGACGAGCAAGGUGGCAGCAAGUUCAAGCCCACCUCCGAUGACAUUUUUUCACGGCCGGCAGCAUCAUUGGCCCAGUUUGGAUGAUGAUGAACCAUGGGAAGUGAUAUUCCAUUUCCAAGGAUGUGACAAUCUGGAAAGGAGAUUGUAUCAGUGA
rnacentral:rRNA from 1 species